UACGAGAGGCCCAAACGUUAUUCGGAUUUACUGGGCUUAAAGAGUUCGUAGGCGGCUUGGAAAGUGGGGUGUGAAAGCCCUCGGCUUAACCGAGGAAUUGCGCUCCAAACUACCGAGCUUGAGGAGGCUAGAGGUGAGCAGAACUGAUGGUGGAGCGGUGAAAUGCGUUGAUAUCAUCAGGAAUACCGGAGGCGAAGGCGGCUCACUGGGACCUUUCUGACGCUGAGGAGCGAAAGUGUGGGGAGCGAACAGG
rnacentral:rRNA from 1 species